GCUCUAAGUAUGAAACUAUGAAUUGAGAAUCUAGGUUUUCUGUUUUUGGCCUCUCAUGUAAAGAUAACAUGAAAGUGAGAAAGGAAAGGAUUGAGAUCUGCAACUCAAACUACCUCCUAAUAAUGAAUGAGAGGAGUUUGAUGCUGUCUCUUCAGUCUUCACCCUUUUUUUUGGUAGUAGUAGUAUAGUAUAUAAAUAUAAUAAUUUUGAAUGUAAAUGUCCUCUUUCAUCUUCUAAAUUAUGUGGCUUCAAAUCCUUCAAUUUUCCUUUAUUAGACUGCUAUGUUUUGCCAUGAACAUCUUUAAGAUUCUGCUCUGCUUAAUUAUUUUAGGAUAAAAAAGGGUUAAACUGUAAAAAAACUACAGCUUGUUUUAGAAUAUAACUAGUUUACUUCUUUUUCUAAAUAAGUAAUGCUAUGCAGGCAUAAUAUAAGUCUAAGUUAGAGUAUGAAGUAAAACAUUUGAAUAUAGUGUUGUCAUGUGAAGAGGAAUUUGUUGGAAACAAAAUAUUAGAAAAACUAGAAUAAAAUGUGGAAGUCAAGUCUCAGCUCUAAUGAAUGAUCAUUAUCAUGUACUUGCGGAUAUGACACACUGUUGCCGUUAAAAUCCGGUGCAUAAGGAUGUUACCUUUUCUGUUGUUGUUAUUUGUACUCAUUAAAUUACAUGAAAUUACGCAAAGAAUAAAUGAAUGAGAAGUAUUAAGAAGUUAGCAAAUUUUGUAAUUUAUAAUUAUUAAUUAAUUAUUAUUAGUAUUUUUAAUAGUAAAAAAUUAUAUUUAAUAAUAUAUAAAUGUUUUUUUUAUUAAUUAAGUAUUGAUUAUAAAAAACGAUUCGGUAUCUAAAGUUCUCUUAAUUUUAAAGUAUGAGAAGUGUUAAAAGUUAGUAGAUUUUGUGAUUUGUAAUUAUUAAUUAGUUAUCAUUAGUAUUUUUAGUGAUAUGAGAUUAUAUUUAAUGGCAUAGAAUUAUUUACUUUUUUUUACUAAUUAAGUAUUGAUCAAAUUUUAAUAAAACUGUUGAUUUUAUAGACUUUUUCUAAAUGAAUAAUCAAUCAAUAAAGAUCGUGGAUUAGAUUUUGUAUCCUCAACAAAACGCAAUUUUACAUUUUAUAGGGAGCAGCUUGGAUUUAUCAUUUAUUUGAUCAAAGCAUUUUAAUUUCAGUACAAAAGGACAAAAUGAAAGGAAAUUGCAGUCAAAUGUCACCAUUAUGAUGGAAAACUUUGCUCUUAUUUACCCAUGAAUUAUGCUGUGAGAAAGGGUGCCUUAUAUUGCUUUUGUUGUGUCUUUGCAACUUUUUUUGUCUGUUCUUUGCUUUUCUUUUUCUUUUUUCAUUUGAAAUUUGAAUAAUUUGUGCGACAAGAUAUCAAAACUCCAAGUGGGCUUCUCACCGCCUUGCUUUUGUUAAUAGUUUAAUACUACUCUUUCAUUAGAGAGUAAAGAAAAUAUUAUUUAAGUAAAUUAAUAUAAUGGUAUAGAUAAAGAAUGUGAUGAUAAGCAAUGAAAAAAAAUGCCUCGUCUGUGUUAUUUACUAUUUAGCAUGUCAUAUCUUAGACUUAGUUACGUCAACGUUUAAUCUGUAUGUUACAUAGUAUUUGACAAAAGCAAGUUUAAUAAAGGAACAAAAUAUACACGUUUCAAAUUUAUAGGUACUAAUACCUAAAUUUCCUUUUCACAAGAAUGAAAGCAAAAAAGAAAAAUGCAUGUAUGAAAGAAUAUAAACUUAUUUAGUUUAUUUUAAUACAAAUUUUUUGCAAAUACUAAUACAGCAACCUUCCUUAGAAAAUAAUGUGUCAUUAGAGUUCAAUAAAUGAGUAGCUUUUUUUUUUAUUAAAAAAACAUACAUAGUCCAUUUGAAAAUUAAAAAGAAAUAUGUAACUUAAUUUUAUUAACAUGUUAUUUUUUAAAUCUCAAUUAUUUAUAUAAAAUAAAUAAAUAAAUUGUCUAAUUAGUAAAAUAAAAAUGCUAAAAUAACCGUCAUUAUACAUAUGUAUAUAUCUAUUGUUUAUACUCUAACCUACAACUCAAAGUCAAACCCAAAAUAACUAAGGCACUCUCUCUAUACGUCUGACCUCCUUUGUACGACUUGGUUUGGAGAAUCUUAACUACACCUACAAACAUGCUCAUAUAUCAAAAUAUGAGAUCUCAACAAUCCUUAGAUAAAAGAGGAGAAUAACUACCCACUAUGAUAUGUGGAUAAGUUACAGAAAUAUUACUUAUUUUUCCAACUAUAAAUAUCAUACCAAAUUCAAGUAUUUCUCAACUCCAUCCUACACAAAACCUGCUUAAAAUUUUACUAACUUAAGCAUUGGAGUCCCUUGUAAGUACCACCCCUGUUUUCACCCAAAGAACUCGGACGACUCCAUCACAUAGGAGGAGACGUCAACAUCAUUAAAAAGGAGCUUGGACCUUACGUUCAGGCCCAAAGCACCAAUUUCAGGUAAUCUUCGAAAUAUUAAUGUCAUUGUCGGGGACCUAGAGUUCAACAUCCAACCAUGGCAAAUAAUUACCUAGGAGACAGACAUACAACAUCCGAAUUAGAACACCUAGACAGCGAAAUAGAAAGACUGACGAAGGAAGAGACGGAAACUAACAAAGAGGACGAAGAUUGGGAUCCGAAGACUAUAGAUCUGGGGGUUCAGGAGAUAGAGACACAACAAAGUUAAUGGGAUUAGUCCAUGGACAUCAAGUUCGGUUGGAGUAGCUCGAGGUUGAGCUAAAGCUACAACGAGAAGUAAGACAACGUAGAGAGUUGGAAGAUAAAUUGGCAAAAUUGGAAUUCGACCUCAAAGGUAGGAGAUCUCGGGCUGAGCAAGUAACUACACCCUUGGGGAAUGAAGAUCCAUUCUCAAAAGAAUUCAUGCGAGCAGAAGUUCCCAGAAAUUUCAAGAGCCCGGACAUCGACCUCUACGAUGGCACAACCGACCCCAUCAUCACCUGAGCAAUUUUAAAAGUUGAAUGUAUUUGGCUGAUGUCUCAGAUGCAAUUUGGUGCAAAGAAUUCUCGACUACCUUAACUAAGGCAGCAUUGAAGUGGUUCGACAGUUCCCUCCCAGGUUCGGUCACCUAUUUUAAUGACUUGGCAAGAAACUUCCUCAUCCGAUUUUCCAUCCAAGAGGAUAAAGCCAAGCAUCUUCCAAGCCUCUUGGGUGUCAAACAAGAGGUCAGGGAGUCCCUUAGGACGUACAUGAAAAGGUUCAACAAGGCAUGUUUGGAAAUUCAAAGCUUGUCCACUGAAGCAGCUAUCAUGGAGCUCGUCAUUGGCCUUAGGGGAGGUCCUUUCUCAUAAUCCAUAUAAAAAAAAGAAUUCGAUCUCAUUGUACAAGGUCCAAGAAUGAGCUGAAAAGUACAUCAACAUGGAGAAAACUACACAGCCGAGGAAGCCUACAUCAGGACAAAGCAAUCAACAUCAGUCUAAAGGAAAAGAAAAAAAAUCAAAGAAGAACGAACAGUACAACUUGGACAUGCCUCGAAGAUACCAUUCCUAUACUCUGCUACGAGUCUCCUUGGUUGAUGUUUAUAGAAAAAUAUGCCACACUGAGAAAAUAUCACCUCCUAGGGCCAUUCGAAGCAAGAAAGUGGGAAUCAGUCAAAAUAUUGUUAAUACCACAAAAUUUACGGCAAUUCCACAAAUGAUUUCUACGAUUUGAAGAAUGUAAUUGAAGAGCUGGCCUAAGAAGGGCGGUUGGAUAAAUAUCAUGCUGGGAAGUCAGAUGAAACCAGUAAGAGAAAAAGAGAAGAGGAAGACAGAGGAAAGCGAAAACGACCACAAAGGAUCCCCGAAAGACACAUCCACACGAUCGUUAGUGGCUUCACAAAGUCCUCUCGCAAAUGACAUUUGAAGGAAAUCUACCAGGUCGGAGAAGAUGAGAAAACACCUGACCUACACGAUAGCUUUUACAAAGGAGGAUGCUGAUGAUCCAAUUGUGUUAACAAUGAUCUUAGCCAAUGCAAAACUUCACAAAAUCCUAGUAGAUCAAGGAAGCUUGAUGCAUGUGCAUCAUAAGUUAUUUUUCUAUGUUAUUUUAUAUAGAAAGUCAAUGAAUUAUGCUCAGUGUUUUAGUGUUUAAUUUGAAUACUUCUUUGUUGCUUAAAGUUUAUGAAUUUUUGUAGGAAAUGUUAGAAAAAGAAACAACAAAAGCACUAAUAGAAGAAGUACUCAAGCAACACUUCUUGAGCAACAUUUCUAGAGACAAGAUGGAGUUUUGCUAAGCCUCUUUUGGGAGUUAAACAAGUCAAGUGAUGCAAGCUCCAGGGGCUUAAAUUGGAGCUCCAAACUGGCAUCUCCAACACCAAUCCUCUCACUCCUAGGGACUUUCAAAGUGGCGUCUCCACCUUCACCCAAUUGGCGUCUCUAAAGCCAUUUCCUAGAGGCCAAAUUUUUGCAAUAAUGUGGUAUCCUAAACGCCGUCCUUCUUAACCAAUUUGGCAUCUCCAAUGCCACUCCCUAGAAGCCAAAUUGAAGCAACAAAGUGGCAUCUCCAACAGCACUUUGUGAAGCGUCUCCCUCCACAAACGCCUUUGAGCUUCAAGGCUAAUCCAAGGCAAUGAAAUUGGCGUGCUAGAUGCCAUAUUUGGAGCAAGAUUUUGAGCUUCAAUUUGGCUUUUAAAUUAGCAUCUAACAUGCGAAAUCAUGCACUCUCAAGCAUGUGAAUUUCAAAUCAUAUCUAAUGCUCAUCACGCCUAACUAAUUAAGACUACAACCAUCAAUACAAUAACUCACAAGGUUCAGAUCCAAAAAGAGGAAGGAAUAUCAUUAGGAAGAGUUAGUUAGGAAAUGCAUUGGAUUAUAAUUUGAGUUUAAUUUUGAAUGUGAAUCUGAGAAUAGGGAUACUAGUAUAAAUGGGGUUUCGAACACUCCAUUGGGGGUAUAUUUUACUUCUUUCAUAUCCAUUUUGUAAUUUUUUGAGCUAUGAGUAGCUAAUUCUCUCUUUAUUGGGGGAAAGAGCUCUGUUGAAUUUCAAUGGAUUAAUAUGAUUGAUUCUUCAACUUCAAUUCAUAUUUCACUUGUUUUUUUAGAAAGAAUUUUUGUUCUUCAUAAAGGAUCUAAAUCUAUCAGGAGAUCAUUUAGAUCCAAAUUAGGUUUUAUGAUCACUUGAAAAAGUGGAUUCAUGAAAUCAAGCUUGAAAACUCUUUCUCUCAAUUCUCAUUAUUAUGGAUUUGGAUUUGAUAUGUGACAUUGAAUCAAUCUUAUCUAGAUCUUGAAGAAUUGUGUGUUGAUAAGUCAGAAAUGUGCUUCAUCUCUUCCCAUAAGCAAUUGAUCAAGUCAAGAGAAAUUGAAUUACUAAGGAAUUGAAAUUCAAUUACUUAUGAUUUGUCAAGAGAUCAUUGAUUGCAUGAUUGAAGUAGAGAUGAGAGCUAUUGAUCCUAAGAACUCAACAUCUCUCUACCCCAAUGUUCUUCCCAUCAUUAUCUUCUUAUCUUGUUUUAGAAUUGCCUUUAAUUAAUGCAUUUACGUUGAUUCUUUUUCUUGCACUUUAUUAUUGUUUUAAUUCACCUUAAUUCUUGCCAUUUAUAUUUCAGUUAUUUACAUUCUUGCCAUUUAUAUUUUUCAACUCUAGCUUACACAAAAUCUGCCUAAAAUCUUUGUUAACUUAAGUAUUAGAGUCCUUUACAAGUACCAUUCCCUAUUCUCACCCAAAGAACUCGAACGGCUCCAUCACAUAGGAGGAGACAUCAGCAUCAUCACAAAAAAAAAA
rnacentral:lncRNA from 1 species